GACGAACGCUGGCGGCGCGCUUAACACAUGCAAGUCGAACGGAAAGGCCUGCUUUCCCUUGUGGAUUGCGGGUACUCGAGUGGCGAACGGGUGAGUAACACGUGAGUGAUCUGCCCCCAACUUGGGUAUAAGCCUGGGAAACUGGGUCUAAUUCCCGAUAGGACUGCAGGGUGGUGCCUGUGGUGGAAAACGAUUUUCUAGUGGUUGGGGAUGAGCUCGCGGCCUAUCAGCUUGUUGGUGGGGUAAUGGCCUACCAAGGCGGCGACGGGUAGCCGGCCUGAGAGAGUGGACGGCCACAUUGGGACUGAGAUACGGCCCAGACUCCUACGGGAGGCAGCAGUGGGGAAUAUUGCACGAUGGGCGGAAGCCUGAUGCAGCGACGCCGCGUGGGGGAUGACGGCCUUCGGGUUGUAGACUCCUUUCGACCGCGAGGAAGCCACCUGGUUGGAAGGGUGGUGACGGUAGUGGUAGAAGAAGCACCGGCUAACUACGUG
rnacentral:rRNA from 1 species